rnacentral:rRNA from 1 species
AGAGAGAGACAUGCGCGCAUAUCAAUAAGCGGAGGAAAAGAAACUAACAAGGAUUCCCCUAGUAACGGCGAGUGAAGCGGGAAGAGCUCAAAUUUGAAAUCUUAAAGGGUUUCCCUUUACGAAUUGUAGUUUAAAGAAGUGUUUUCUGUUGAGGUUUUGGUAAAAGUUCUUUGGAAUAGGACAUCAUAGAGGGUGAGAAUCCCGUAUUUGACCUUUACUUUCAACUUUGUGAUACACUUUCAAAGAGUCGGAUUGUUUGGGAAUGCAGUCCAAAAUGGGUGGUAAAUUUCAUCUAAAGCUAAAUAUUGGCGAGAGACCUGAUAGCGAACAAGUACCGUGAGGGAAAGAUGAAAAGAACUUUGAAAAGAGAGUUAAACAGUACGUGAAAUUGUCAAAAGGGAAGCGUUUGACACCAGUGUUGUUUUUCUGAAAAUCAAUUAAAGAACUGUUUAUGCUAAGUUGUUUAGACUUUAUCAGCUAACUGUUUAGUUUUGAGCUUUUCUUUAAUGCACUUUUCAGUUAACAAGUCAACAUCAAUUUCUUUUGCUGUAAAAAAGCUUGAGGAAGGUGGCUUGAGAUUCGUCUUAAGUGUUUAUAGCCUCUUGCCUAUGCAGUCGGAGAGAUUGAGGUCUGCAGCGUAGAUCCUUCGGGGCUAAAUGCAUUUGUGCUAAGUUAUAGCAUUUUAUAGACAACUUGUUGACUAUGAUUUGUCUUGUAGCUUACUCGCUUAUGUUAUUUUACCUACGCUUAGGAUGUUGACGCAUGAGAUAUACGC